CGGCCCUACUCCCGCCCCUUCCCCUAGCGCCCACUCCAGACGGAGCUCAUGCUGCCGGCGAGGCGCCGCCGUGCGCUGAUGCUCCUAUCCGCUCCCGCGCUCGCGCGCAGCGGGUUCCCAAUCGGCGGUGCCACGCUCGCCGUCGACCCCGCGUUGCACCACCAUCGCCGCACAACUCGUGCCUCCGAAGCACGCUGCGAAGGCGGGAGGCGGCCCCGGCCCCAAUCCUUGCGACUCCAGCGAAGGGCCGUGCACCGCACCGAGCUGCUGCCGCGGUCGACGGAUUCGCCGGGCGUGGCCCUGGCCGCCAUGCAUGACCCCGUCCGUGGCGGCACAAGGCCCGGCGGAGGCUUGCCUGGGCAUACGGCGUACGCAUCUCUCGUGCUCUCCGAUUCUACCCCAAAUUGAUUGAGAUCCUGAUAUGUGUUGACCAUAUACAUAUUUUGUAUAUCGACUGCUGCACUGCCGGCAGAACCUCCUCUAUCUUAGCGCCAUUGCAGUCCUAGCUCCAGCGCAAGGAGUUCAUCUGCCGCGCAAGCAACCUGUUCGACCAAAUGCAAGAAAGGCAACAAUAACUCGUCGCAACUGGGGCUGCGUUCUCUGAAUCUAUACUGCAGCUCGGCACUUCUCUCAGGCAAGCAGGUAGACAAGGAUUAAGAACCUCAAGCAUUUGAUUUGUACAAGAAGUUCAACUACAGCAAGACAAAAAGGCCGCACGCCUGCUUUACAGUUGGUCGUUGGAAGACAACUUUCAAUUGCUGUAGUUUUCAUAUGUCUAUAUGGAUGUCAUCUGUUUUUGAUGUGAUGCUAAAUGAAAAUAUGAGUUAUUGUAUCUGAUAUGAUGCUAUAAGUUAUGUUGUGUUCACUGAAUUAGUAUCUGGCUUUUAUGUAAUUUGGGCUGGAAUUUCUACUUUGAGAAAUGGACUGGAAAAUGUAGUUUUGAAAAGUGCGCUGAAAUUUGGUAAAAUUUAAAAUUGCAGAAA